rnacentral:tRNA from 1 species
GCUGCGUUGGCCGAAUGGUUAAGGCGUUGGACUCGAAAUCCAAUGGGAUAUUCCCCGCGCAGGUUCGAAUACUGUUUGUAGCG